AAGGUUGACCUCGGAUCAGGUAGGGAUACCCGCUGAACUUAAGCA
rnacentral:rRNA from 1 species